rnacentral:rRNA from 1 species
UACGGGGGGGGCAAGCGUUGUUCGGAAUUACUGGGCGUAAAGGGCUCGUAGGCGGCCAACUAAGUCAGACGUGAAAUCCCUCGGCUUAACCGGGGAACUGCGUCUGAUACUGGAUGGCUUGAGAUUGGGAGAGGGAUGCGGAAUUCCAGGUGAAGCGGUGAAAUGCGUAGAUAUCAGAAGGAACGCCGGUGGCGAAAGCGACUCUCUGGCUCGUAUCUGACGCUGAGGCGCGAAAGCUUGGGUAGCAAACGGG